ensembl:lncRNA probable serine/threonine-protein kinase kinX
CAUGUACAUGUUGUUGCUUAACUAAACUAACCUACACAUUUUCUCUUCAAAAGUUUCAGUAUGAACAGUAUCUGGAAGAGAGCUUACCACGAUGGCAGCAAAGACUCAAAGACAUAAAAGUUUCUGAAAAGUCAAAGCACUUAAAGAGCUAUAUUCAGAAGAUGGAAGAGGAAGAAGGUAUCAAGUCUGAACACAGCUCUGACUUUAGAGCCCACCUUCUGUCCUCCAAUUUUCCAGAUGCAUCUCAGCCUUCUCACACCAUGCUAAACACUCAUCAGAGAGUGAAAGACAUCAAGCAAAAUCCUGAAAGAUGCAACCAUCAGCCUUACAUCCCACCCACUUGGUUAACUGGCUCACAGCUUUCUAUUUCCGGACUCCCCCAAAACAAUAUUGCAAAGGAUUACAAAAACCUUCAGAACACUCAAGCCUUAAAUCAUCCCUUGCCACCUUACUAUUCUUUACCUGGCGAUUUAGUCCAUCAGUCACUUUCUCCAGUUCAGCAAAAGCCACCAUCAAUGGACCAUCUGUGGGCUGGUAUAAGGCAAGGGUUUAUGCCUGCAGCUCACUUCACUCCUCCUGCUGCUUCCUGGCCACGAUUUCCUGUGCUGAACCCCAUGACGUGGGGUAUGAUGGAUGUACCAGACCCCAGUGAGGAAAGAAUCCAAUGCAGUGAGCCAGACAAGGAAAAGGUGACAAAAGCAAAACCAAAACACAGGAGGAAAGGGAAAGAGAGUGACCGGUCUUCUGAGCUCGACUGUAGACCAGUACGUCUGUCAAUCAACCAUGAAGAAAGUAGUGAAGGCAGCGCUGUGUACUCUAAAGUCACAGUUUCUGGGAUGCAAAAACGGAAAAAAAAACAAACAUAUGAGACAAAAUCAAACUCUACAGAAAAUAGGAACGAAUCUCACGGCUCUUCCACUAUGUCACAGGAUGCUUCAGAUAGUAACUCGGGCACAAAAAUGUACAAAAAACAUCAAAAGCAGUUUAAUAAGUGUAACAGCAAAGAAUCCGUUAUCACAGAGAAGACUGUUGAUGCAGUGAUGCAAGAUGAAGACGAACAAGAAGAAAGCAAGAGCCAAGAAAUUUCUCAGAGUAGUGUCAGCUCUGAAAAGAAAGAUGGAUCUGAAGGACUCAACAUUAGACAGGAAGAAGAUUCUAAUGAAGGAGAUGAUGACAGUCAUGUCAUCAUUGCGGCAGAGGAGAAAAUAAGUCACAGAGAAGCUAAAGAUGAGGAAGAGGAUGAGGAAAGCACAGAUGGAGAUGAGGAAGCAGGAUUUGAUGAUGAAGCACAGGGAGGUGAUGAAGAAGUGAUGGGAAAGAGAGAUGGGACUGAACCCAGUAAUAGAGAAGAGCCAGAAAGGGAAGGAGAUGUUCCAGAUGACAUUCCAGAUAUGGGAGAAACAACGGAGGAAGAGGAGAGAGACAAGAGUUUUCAAAAUGCAAAGGAGGCUAGAAAGACUCAAGAAACUGUAGAAGAUGAGAGAGAAAUUCACAAAAGGUAUAUAUUUAAAUGUAUGCAAAUAUCACUGCUCUUGAAUAUUCAUCACUUAUUUUUAAUAUGAAUCGUCUACUCAUUGGACUAAAACUGACUUUCUGCAAAGCCUUGAGGAGUCUGAAAGGGAAGAGGUCUACAAUCAAGAAACAGAAGAUGAUGAAGAGGAAGAUGAUGAGGUUGUGGUUGAGAAAGCAUACGCCUGGUCAAAAGACCCUUUUGAUGAUCAUACAAAAUGCCCUGAGGAUGAUGAGGAUGAUAUUGAAGGUCUUCUCAACCCUGUCAACUCCCAAACACAGCAGUGAGUUUAGUUAUAUUCUGUAUUAUAUUGUAUAUUUUGUUCAUUGGGACUCUAACCUUUAUGUAUUCCUAUAGGGAGGAUGAUAUGAAGGAGACAGACCAAUCAAAUGGUAUGUUUAAUUUUGUACACUUUAUUUAUUUAUUUAUAUGUAUUUUCAAAUUAUUAU